rnacentral:rRNA from 1 species
CAUGCGUCCCAUUAGCUAGUUGGUAAGGUAACGGCUUACCAAGGCUACGAUGUUUAGGGGAUCUGAGAGGAUGGCCCCCCACACUGGUACUGAGACACGGACCAGACUCCUACGGGAGGCAGCAGUAAGGAAUAUUGGUCAAUGGGGCGGGAAGCCUGAACCAGCCAUGCCGCGUGCAGGAAGACGGCCCUAUGGGUUGUAAACUGCUUUUAUACAGGAAGAAACCCUCCCACGUGUGGGAGCUUGACGGUACUGUAGGAAUAAGGAUCGGCUAACUCCGUG